AGAAUAAAAGUAACUAAAAUAUAACUAACGUUUGUCAGAGUUAACUGUUAUCUCUAGAACUAAACGGCAAUAAUUCAAAUGAUAAAAAAAAUAACCGUGUUAAAAUAUAUUAUAUUUUCUUAAAUAGUACACAUUUUUACGAUACAUUUAUAAUGACAAAAAACCAACUAGUUCAUAUGACGACAACGAUAAUUAUUGUAUGAUGGUAGUUGUCUGAAGUCAUAAAAAGCUUAUCGGUAUGCUUAUUCAUCAGAGCGGUUCGAUUCCUGAAACUAUCUCUAGUCUGAUUAAGUGUGGUAACAGUUUUAAGAUGAGUCAAAGAUUCUGGUUGAACAGUUCUCCAUCGACACCAACUGGAAGAAAUAAUUGUUUUAUCAUUUGUCUAAAUAGAUUAGCUAGAAUGUGACCAGAGGAAGAUGUAAUGGACA